rnacentral:lncRNA from 1 species
GCGGUCCAGGGUUCCAUUAAGAAAUAAAGCAGACUGUUACUCUGAAUGGACAAGGCAAGGGCUUUUACCAGAUCAAUAGCAAAGACACGGCCAUGCACACACAGAGGAAGUCAGCCAGUCUCGGUGACCUUUUCAUGAACUUUCUAGGAGAUGGCAGAUCAUUCAAAGGGGCAAAGAUUAUGGCAUGCAGUCAGGAGGCUGGUCCAUUCAAUUAGUACAUCUCAU